GAUGAACGCUGGCGGCGUGCCUAAUACAUGCAAGUCGAGCGAACGGACGAGAAGCUUGCUUCUCUGAUGUUAGCGGCGGACGGGUGAGUAACACGUGGAUAACCUACCUAUAAGACUGGGAUAACUUCGGGAAACCGGAGCUAAUACCGGAUAAUAUUUUGAACCGCAUGGUUCAACAGAGAAAGACGGUCUUGCUGUCACUUAUAGAUGGAACCGCGCUGCAUUAGCUAGUUGGUAAGGUAACGGCUUACCAAGGCAACGAUGCAUAGCCGACCUGAGAGGGUGAUCGGCCACACUGGAACUGAGACACGGUCCAGACUCCUACGGGAGGCAGCAGUAGGGAAUCUUCCGCAAUGGGCGAAAGCCUGACGGAGCAACGCCGCGUGAGUGAUGAAGGUCUUCGGAUCGUAAAACUCUGUUAUUAGGGAAGAACAUAUGUGUAAGUAACUGUGCACAUCUUGACGGUACCUACUCAGAAAGCCACGGCUAACUACGUG
rnacentral:rRNA from 1 species